rnacentral:rRNA from 1 species
GGGUUGUGAGGUUAAGCGACUAAGCGUACACGGUGGAUGCCACGGCAGUCAGAGGCGAUGAAGGACGUGCUAAUCUGCGAAAAGCGUCGGUAAGGUGAUAUGAACCGUUACAGCCGGCGAUGUCCGAAUGGGGAAACCCAGUGCAAUUCGUUGCACUAUCGUUAACUGAAUACAUAGGUUAACGAGGCGAACCGGGGAACUGAAACAUCUAAGUACCCCGAGGAAAAAAAUCAACCGAGAUUCCCCAGUAGCGGCGAGCGAACGGGGAGCAGCCCAGAGUCUGAAUCAGCUUGUGUGUUAGUGGAACGGUCUGGAAAGUCCGACGGUACAGGGUGAUAGUCCCGUACACCAAAAUGCACAGGCUGUGAACUCGAAGAGUAGGGCGGGACACGUGGUAUCCUGUCUGAAUAUGGGGACCAUCCUCCAAGGCUAAAUACUCCUGACUGACCGAUAGUGAACCAGUACCGUGAGGGAAAGGCGAAAAGAACCCCGGCGAGGGGAGUGAAAAGAACCUGAAACCGUGUACGUACAAGCAGUGGGAGCACCUUCGGGUGUGACUGCGUACCUUUGUAUAAUGGGUCAGCGACUUAUAUUCUGUAGCAAGGUUAACCGUAUAGGGGAGCCGCAGGGAAACCGAGUCUUAACUGGGCGUUAAGUUGCAGGGUAUAGACCCGAAACCCGGUGAUCUAGCCAUGGGCAGGUUGAAGGUUGGGUAACACUAACUGGAGGACCGAACCGACUAAUGUUGAAAAAUUAGCGGAUGACUUGUGGCUGGGGGUGAAAGGCCAAUCAAACCGGGAGAUAGCUGGUUCUCCCCGAAAGCUAUUUAGGUAGCGCCUCGUGAAUUCAUCUUCGGGGGUAGAGCACUGUUUCGGCUAGGGGGUCAUCCCGACUUACCAACCCGAUGCAAACUACGAAUACCGAAGAAUGUUAUCACGGGAGACACACGGCGGGUGCUAACGUCCGUCGUGAAGAGAAACAACCCAGACCGCCAGCUAAGGUCCCAAAGUCAUGGUUAAGUGGGAAACGAUGUGGGAAGGCACAGACAGCCGGAUGUUGGCUUAGAAGCAGCCAUCAUUUAAAGAAAGCGUAAUAGCUCACUGGUCGAGUCGGCCUGCGCGGAAGAUGUAACGGGGCUAAACCAUGCACCGAAGCUGCGGCAGCGACACUAUGUGUUGUUGGGUAGGGGAGCGUUCUGUAAGCCUGCGAAGGUGACCUGUGAGGGUUGCUGGAGGUAUCAGAAGUGCGAAUGCUGACAUAAGUAACGAUAAAGCGGGUGAAAAGCCCGCUCGCCGGAAGACCAAGGGUUCCUGUCCAACGUUAAUCGGGGCAGGGUGAGUCGACCCUAAGGCGAGGCCGAAAGGCGUAGUCGAUGGGAAACAGGUUAAUAUUCCUGUACUUGGUGUUACUGCGAAGGGGGGGGGAGAAGGCUAUGUUAGCCGGGCGACGGUUGUCCCGGUUUAAGCAUGUAGGCUGGUUAUCCAGGCAAAUCCGGAUAAUCAAGGCUGAGGUGUGAUGACGAGGCACUACGGUGCUGAAGUAACAAAUGCCCUGCUUCCAGGAAAAGCCUCUAAGCAUCAGGUAACAUCAAAUCGUACCCCAAACCGACACAGGUGGUCAGGUAGAGAAUACCAAGGCGCUUGAGAGAACUCGGGUGAAGGAACUAGGCAAAAUGGUGCCGUAACUUCGGGAGAAGGCACGCUGGUGUGUAGGUGAAGUCCCUGCGGAUGGAGCUGAGACCAGUCGAAGAUACCAGCUGGCUGCAACUGUUUAUUAAAAACACAGCACUGUGCAAACACGAAAGUGGACGUAUACGGUGUGACGCCUGCCCGGUGCCGGAAGGUUAAUUGAUGGGGUUAUCCGUAAGGAGAAGCUCUUGAUCGAAGCCCCGGUAAACGGCGGCCGUAACUAUAACGGUCCUAAGGUAGCGAAAUUCCUUGUCGGGUAAGUUCCGACCUGCACGAAUGGCGUAAUGAUGGCGGGCUGUCUCCACCCGAGACUCAGUGAAAUUGAACUCGCUGUGAAGAUGCAGUGUACCCGCGGCAAGACGGAAAGACCCCGUGAACCUUUACUAUAGCUUGACACUGAACAUUGAGCCUUGAUGUGUAGGAUAGGUGGGAGGCUUUGAAGCGUGGACGCCAGUCUGCGUGGAGCCAACCUUGAAAUACCACCCUUUAAUGUUUGAUGUUCUAACGUUGGCCCCUUACCGGGGUUGCGGACAGUGUCUGGUGGGUAGUUUGACUGGGGCGGUCUCCUCCCAAAGCGUAACGGAGGAGCACGAAGGUUAGCUAAUCCUGGUCGGACAUCAGGAGGUUAGUGCAAUGGCAUAAGCUAGCUUGACUGCGAGCGUGACGGCGCGAGCAGGUGCGAAAGCAGGUCAUAGUGAUCCGGUGGUUCUGAAUGGAAGGGCCAUCGCUCAACGGAUAAAAGGUACUCCGGGGAUAACAGGCUGAUACCGCCCAAGAGUUCAUAUCGACGGCGGUGUUUGGCACCUCGAUGUCGGCUCAUCACAUCACGGGGCUGAAGUAGGUCCCAAGGGUAUGGCUGUUCGCCAUUUAAAGUGGUACGCGAGCUGGGUUUAGAACGUCGUGAGACAGUUCGGUCCCUAUCUGCCGUGGGCGCUGGAGAAUUGAGGGGGGCUGCUCCUAGUACGAGAGGACCGGAGUGGACGCAUCACUGGUGUUCGGGUUGUCAUGCCAAUGGCACUGCCCGGUAGCUAAAUGCGGAAGAGAUAAGUGCUGAAAGCAUCUAAGCACGAAACUUGCCCCGAGAUGAGUUCUCCCUGAGACUUUAAGUCUCCUGAAGGAACGUUAAAGACGAUGACGUUGAUAGGCCGGGUGUGUAAGCGCAGCGAUGCGUUGAGCUAACCGGUACUAAUGAACCGUGAGGCUUAACCUUACAACGCCGAAG